GCUAUGAGAAGUUGAUUAAUGCUCCCUGGUUCUCUGCCAGGCUCCCCCAGAGCUCUAGUCCCUAGCAAAGAGCUGCCUAGGGAUCAUGUGCCAGCUGGAGCAGUGCACUCAGAAAAAGAAGUGACCUUCUGGAGAUAAGCACUGCCAAGGGGGAUAUCUUUCUUCUUAGUACUUCCCUGCAUGUUCCUGCAGUCGGGUUUUAAGACAGAUGCCAAUUAAGCCCACAGGAAACUGCAUCUAGGGUGUGGCUGUCCCUUUUCAAUUUGCAAUUACAGUGGAAAAAGAGAAAAUAAUUUACAAGACAAACACCCCGCAAAAUGUCUAUGCCUCCUGGGCAUCUUUCAUCUGUGUUCUUGACAUGCUAGUAAAAUCCUGGAUGUUUGGAACAAUGAGAAUAACAAAACCCGCAACAACAAAGAAUUAUUUUGUUAUUCUUGUGUAUCAAAUCAGGGUCCUGGUUACAGUAAGAGAUAGUCUAAUCAGUGGUAAAAAAUAGUCUGAGGCCUGCUUCAGUGAAUGAUAAGCUGGAAGAAAAGUCAUUCAAGGAUCUUCCCUCGAUUUCAUGCAGUUGAUUGCGAUGAUUGUUGAUUGUAAUGAUUGCUUGAGCCAUUUCAUAUUAUAAGAAAUGUCAAAAUUUGUAUUGUCCAAGUGCUCACAGGUUUAUGAAAACACUGGUUUGGAGCUGCAGCUAAUACAAUCUACAGCCUUCUUAAAUGUUAGACUGAAACAGCAUUUCACCAUGCUCUCACCGCCCCCCCCCCCCCAUGCUUCUGUCCAUACACCCUACUGUCAUAUUGAUUAUUUGCUUGUAUGAUUUUAUUUUAUGGCAAGUUUUGCGCUUUCUAGUAUUAUCCUUUACUAAUGCUUAUACUAACCCCAAUGUCUUCCAGGCAGAUUAGGGACUUCAGCCUGGCUCUCCAAGAUGCCAGGUGAGUACCCUGACUAGCAGACUAUUCUGGAGUGAGUCUCUUUCUCUCUCUGGUUUUGACCAAAGUUUCUGGACAUCAGAAACCUUUCCUAUGAAAGUUUUGUCAAAACAAGUAUGUUCCUGUGACAAAUUUUGGUAUUGACAACGAGUGAACAGGUGAGCCUGCACCCUGAUCUCUUAGAUGCCAAUUAGUUCACUCAAGAAAGCUAAUUGAGGUAAAUAGAUAAUCAUGCUGGUGGGCUGGGUGGGAUAAUGAGCCAAUUAGCUCAUCAGCCCAAACAUGAUAAAGAGGCACAGAAAUGGGGAAUAAGGAAUGGGGCUAGCUGAGCCCAGUCACAUAGAUUGCUUAGGAAAGGGAGACCUUUGUUCCCCUCAGGUCCUGAUGAGAAGGCCAAAAGCAUCAAGUAAAUAAACUGUUGCAUAGGGAGUGUAGUGGUAUUGGUGGAGGGAACUCAAAAUAAAUGACACUGUGAAUGUAAAACUAGUGGAGUCUGGGCAGUUUCUGCAGGGCAGGAGGACAGGAGUGAAAGUGUGUCGUUUUACCCACCACAAGAAUUCAUACUCAGCUCUGGCAUCAGCACAACCAGAGCUCUUAUUCUGUCCCACUUUGUUCUUAUGGCCAAUCCUUACAGCUCUUGCUGCGUGAAUUCAGACUUCUGUCUCUCGGCUCCAAGUCCAAAUACAGUCAGGGUUUCCCACAGGAGCCUCUGACUCACUUGGCUCUGUCCUCUAAACUCCCCGAUGUCAGGGUCUUUCCUGCUGGAUCCUUUCUCACUCCCUACAGUUUCCUGAGCUUCCUCCCUCUUCAUGGAGCUUCCUGUUGCUCCUUGUAGGGAAAACAUCUAAUCAUGCUGAGGGCUGGCUAGCCAGAGGGCUUCCAGUAUUUAAGGAAAGCCACCAUGUUAUGUUGAUAAGUCUAGAGAACUGGGAAUAACAUCAAAGAUCAGGCCAUGGAGCCUAAGAAACCUGUGUGAACCCUGAUUGAUAUUAUAAAGUAUUAAUUAGCAAGUAGAUGUUAUAAUAUAACAGGGCUUUGGGAUCUUUUCUCUAUACAACCCCUAUAUUAGGUUUGUCCAACAAUUUCCCCCCAAUUUUGUUUUUGAAGAACUCUGACACAUCUAUGGUUUGCAGAGAAGAGACAUAUUCAUGGUGGAGCUGGCCAGCCAAACAGAGAAAUAAAUGUUAUACCCCCAUUAAGUGGAAUUGGUUAAAAAACAGUCCCACAAUUUCAUGAAAAUUUGUGAAAUCUAAACAUUGUUUCAGUUUUUCAGGCCUUAAAAUUGAACCAUUUUUCAUGUUUUCAAUAUUUUUUUCAGAAAAUAUUUGAGAAGUUUUGAAUUUUCAUU